rnacentral:rRNA from 1 species
AACCUACCCUUCAGAGGGGGACAACAGUUGGAAACGACUGCUAAUACCGCAUACGAUCUAACCUCGGCAUCGAGGAUGGAUGAAAGGUGGCCUCUAUUUAUAAGCUAUCACUGAAGGAGGGGAUUGCGUCUGAUUAGCUAGUUGGAGGGGUAACGGCCCACCAAGGCGAUGAUCAGUAGCCGGUCUGAGAGGAUGAACGGCCACAUUGGGACUGAGACACGGCCCAG